rnacentral:rRNA from 1 species
GUGGGGAAUAUUGGACAAUGGGCGAAAGCCUGAUCCAGCCAUGCCGCGUGAACGAUGAAGGCCUUCGGGUUGUAAAGUUCUUUAGCCGAUGAUUAUAAUGACUGUAGUCGGAAAAUAAGCCCCGGCUAACUUCGUGCCAGCAGCCGCGGUAAUACGAAGGGGGCGAGCGUUAUUCGGAAUCACUGGGCGUAAAGCGUGCGUAGGCGGUUUUGUAAGUUAGGAGUGAAAGCCCAGGGCUCAACCUUGGAAUUGCUCUUAAAACUGCAAGGCUCGAAUCUCGGAGAGGAUAGCGGAAUUUCCAGUGUAGCAGUGAAAUGCGUAGAUAUUGGAAGGAACACCAGUGGCGUAAGCGGCUAUCUGGACGAGUAUUGACGCCGAGGCACGAAAGCGUGGGGAUCAAACAGGAUUAGAAACCCUGGUAGUCC